rnacentral:lncRNA from 1 species
AUGGUUGUUCUCAUUUUUAUAUAUGUACAUGAAUUAUAAAUUAAUAAAAAUUAUUUUGGUAUUUUUCAUCACAAAAUAUUUCAUCUUCUAAUGAACUCCUAUGUUGUGGUGAAGUCCUUAGGACUAUUUAGACUCGACAAAAGAGGAUUUGUCAUUUAGUCCUUAAAUCUGUUCGCGACCAAAUGAUACGUUGUUACCUAAGACGACAACGUUUAUGAAGCAUAGGUCGUUAUGUGCUAUAUAGGUUGGUUGUCCUCUUAACCAAUGAGUGUGGAGACACUGGUAUGGCAUACAGGUGAGAUGUAAGGGUACAUCUGCACUGAACGUGACCGACUCUGGAGCUAUUUCUACUGUCAAGAUUUGCUCUGAUGGAAUAUGGGUAUAAAUGUCCCUCCGAUCUGAGACCGCCAUGGUGACUUGCAAGCAACUCACUGUACUUAGGCACUGGACUACCUGAAUUUCUAAUUCAGUGACGGAAGGUUGCUGGGUGUAGUCAAGUAC